CAAUAGCGUAUAUUAAAGUUGUUGCAGUUAAAAAGCUCGUAGUUGGAUUUCGGGGUGGCCUGGCUGGUCCGCCGCAAGGUGAGUACUGGUCAGCCGCCCUUCCUCUCGAAAGCCCCGACUGCUCUUUACUGCAGUGGUCGGGUAGUUCGGGACGUUUACUUUGAAAAAAUUAGAGUGUUCAAGGCAGGCUAUCGCCUGAAUACAUUAGCAUGGAAUAAUGGAAGAGGACCUCGGUCCUAUUUUGUUGGUUUCUAGGGCCGAAGUAAUGAUUAAGAGGGACAGUUGGGGGCAUUCGUAUUUAAUUGUCAGAGGUGAAAUUCUUGGAUUUUUGGAAGACGAACUACUGCGAAAGCAUUUACCAAGGAUGUUUUCAUUAA
rnacentral:rRNA from 1 species